GCGGCAGGCCUAACACAUGCAAGUCGAGCGGUAACAGAAAGUAGCUUGCUACUUUGCUGACGAGCGGCGGACGGGUGAGUAAUGCUUGGGAACAUGCCUUGAGGUGGGGGACAACAGUUGGAAACGACUGCUAAUACCGCAUAAUGUCUACGGACCAAAGGGGGCUUYGGCUCUCGCCUUUAGAUUGGCCCAAGUGGGAUUAGCUAGUUGGUGAGGUAAUGGCUCACCAAGGCGACGAUCCCUAGCUGGUUUGAGAGGAUGAUCAGCCACACUGGGACUGAGACACGGCCCAGACUCYUACGGGAGGCAGCAGUGGGGAAUAUUGCACAAUGGGCGCAAGCCUGAUGCAGCCAUGCCGCGUGUGUGAAGAAGGCCUUCGGGUUGUAAAGCACUUUCAGUCAGGAGGAAAGGUUAGUAGUUAAUACCUGCUAGUCUGUGACGUUACUGACAGAAGAAGCACCGGCUAACUCCGUGCCAGCAGCCGCGGUAAUACGGAGGGUGCGAGCGUUAAUCGGAAUUACUGGGCGUAAAGCGUACGCAGGCGGUUUGUUAAGCGAGAUGUGAAAGCCCCGGGCUCAACCUGGGAACUGCAUUUCGAACUGGCAAACUAGAGUGUGAUAGAGGGUGGUAGAAUUUCAGGUGUAGCGGUGAAAUGCGUAGAGAUCUGAAGGAAUACCGAUGGCGAAGGCAGCCACCUGGGUCAACACUGACGCUCAUGUACGAAAGCGUGGGGAGCAAACGGGAUUAGAUACCCCGGUAGUCCACGCCGUAAACGAUGUCUACUAGAAGCUCGGAGCCUCGGUUCUGUUUUUCAAAACUAACGCAUUAAGUAGACCGCCUGGGGAGUACGGCCGCAAGGUUAAAACUCAAAUGAAUUGACGGGGGCCCGCACAAGCGGUG
rnacentral:rRNA from 1 species